rnacentral:lncRNA from 1 species
UGGACGAUGGAUGGAUGGUGGCUGAGACGGUGGGUCCUCAUGACGUGGAGGGACAUCAUCAAUAAUGUCCUCUAGGUCCUCCUCCUCGGUGGACUGGACGAGGCGGUACUGAGGAGGGUAGGUUCCACGUCGUUUCUUGAUCAUCCUCAUGUUUAGCAUGCUCGAGAUGCCCUGUGGGGACAUUUGACCGAUGAGAGUGAGGGAGGAUGAUUGUGCUGCUGUGUUGAGGAGUCCAAAGUGUCUUGCCAAUCGAGUCACAUAGGGCCAGAUAGAGAUGACCCCUCUCCUAUGUGGCUCCGUCUGAUGGCGGAUGGAGAGGGCGAUGAAGUAAGCAAGGUCGAAGACGUGCCCG